CCUACGGGGGGCUGCAGUGGGGAAUAUUGCACAAUGGGCGCAAGCCUGAUGCAGCCAUGCCGCGUGUGUGAAGAAGGCCUUCGGGUUGUAAAGCACUUUCAGCGGGGAGGAAGGCGUUAAGGUUAAUAACCUUGUCGAUUGACGUUACCCGCAGAAGAAGCACCGGCUAACUCCGUGCCAGCAGCCGCGGUAAUACGGAGGGUGCAAGCGUUAAUCGGAAUUACUGGGCGUAAAGCGCACGCAGGCGGUCUGUCAAGUCGGAUGUGAAAUCCCCGGGCUCAACCUGGGAACUGCAUUCGAAAGUGGCAGGCUAGAGUCGUGUAGAGGGGGGUAGAAGUCCAGGUGUAGCGGUGAAAUGCGUAGAGAUCUGGAGGAAUACCGGUGGCGAAGGCGGCCCCCUGGACAAAGACUGACGCUCAGGUGCGAAAGCGUGGUGAGCAAACAGGAUUAGAUACCCGGGUAGUC
rnacentral:rRNA from 1 species